UACAGAGGUCUCAAGCGUUGUUCGGAUUCAUUGGGCGUAAAGGGUGCGUAGGCGGCGCGGUAAGUCGGGUGUGAAAUCUCGGAGCUUAACUCCGAAACUGCAUUCGAUACUGCCGUGCUUGAGGACUGGAGAGGAGACUGGAAUUUACGGUGUAGCGGUGAAAUGCGUAGAUAUCGUAAGGAAGACCAGUGGCGAAGGCGGCCUUCUGGACGGAUACUGACGCUGAGGCGCGAAAGCCAGGGGAGCAAACGGG
rnacentral:rRNA from 1 species